GACGAACGCUGGCGGCGUGCUUAACACAUGCAAGUCGAACGGAAAGGCCCUGCUUUUGUGGGGUGCUCGAGUGGCGAACGGGUGAGUAACACGUGAGUAACCUGCCCUUGACUUUGGGAUAACUUCAGGAAACUGGGGCUAAUACCGGAUAGGAGCUCCUGCUGCAUGGUGGGGGUUGGAAAGUUUCGGCGGUUGGGGAUGGACUCGCGGCUUAUCAGCUUGUUGGUGGGGUAGUGGCUUACCAAGGCUUUGACGGGUAGCCGGCCUGAGAGGGUGACCGGCCACAUUGGGAUUGAGAUACGGCCCGGACUCCUACGGGAGGCAUCAGUGGGGAAUAUUGCACAAUGGGCGGAAGCCUGAUGCAGCAACGCCGCGUGCGGGAUGACGGCCUUCGGGUUGUAAACCGCUUUCGCCUGUGACGAAGCGUGAGUGACGGUAAUUGGUAAAGAAGCACCGGCUAACUACGUG
rnacentral:rRNA from 1 species